rnacentral:rRNA from 1 species
UACGAGGGGGGCAAGCGUUGUUCGGAAUUAUUGGGCGUAAAGGGUGCGUAGGCGGUUUUGUAAGUCUUGUGUGAAAUCUUCAGGCUCAACUUGAAGACUGCACGAGAAACUGCAGGGCUUGAGUGUGGGAGAGGUGAGUGGAAUUCCUGGUGUAGCGGUGAAAUGCGUAGAUAUCAGGAGGAACACCUGUGGCGAAAGCGGCUCACUGGACCACAACUGACGCUGAUGCACGAAGGCUAGGGUAGCAAACAGG